UUGCAGCCAUACCACGCUGAAAAAUUGAUUCUCGUCUCAUCACCAAAGUUAAGCCAUAUCAAGCCCAGUCACUACUUAGUUGGGUGACCGCUUGGGAAAGCUAGGUGCAGUA